AACGAACGCUGGCGGCAGGCCUAACACAUGCAAGUCGAACGCUGUAGCAAUACAGAGUGGCGCACGGGUGCGUAACGCGUGGGAAUACACCCUUGGGUGCGGAACAACGUCGGGAAACUGACGCUAAUACCGCAUAAUGUCUCCGGACCAAAGAUUUAUCGCCUAAGGAUUAGCCCGCGUUGGAUUAGCUAGUUGGUGAGGUAAAGGCUCACCAAGGCUACGAUCCAUAGCUGGUCUGAGAGGAUGAUCAGCCACACUGGGACUGAGACACGGCCCAGACUCCUACGGGAGGCAGCAGUGAGGAAUAUUGGACAAUGGGGGCAACCCUGAUCCAGCCAUGCCGCGUGAGUGAUGAAGGCCUUCGGGUUGUAAAGCUCUUUUAGAUGUGACGAUGAUGACGGUAACAUCAGAAAAAGCCCCGGCUAACUUCGUGCCAGCCGCCGCUGUAA
rnacentral:rRNA from 1 species